rnacentral:rRNA from 1 species
AACGAACGCUGGCGGCGUGCCUAACACAUGCAAGUCGAACGUGAUUGGAAGCUUGCUUCCAUGAAAGUGGCGCACGGGUGAGUAACGCGUAGAUAAUCUGCCUGAUGAUCCGGAAUAACAGUUCGAAAGGACUGCUAAUACCGGAUAAGCCCACGGAGUCCUCGGACUCUGCGGGAAAAGGGGGGGAUCGCAAGACCUUCCGUCAUCAGAUGAGUCUGCGUACCAUUAGCUAGUUGGUAGGGUAAAGGCCUACCAAGGCGACGAUGGUUAGCUGGGCUGAGAGGAUGGUCAGCCACACUGGAACUGAGACACGGGCCAGACUCCUACGGGAGGCAGCAGUGGGGAAUUUUGCGCAAUGGGGGAAACCCUGACGCAGCAACGCCGCGUGAGUGAUGAAGGCCCUUGGGUCGUAAAGCUCUGACAGGGGGAAAGAAAUGCAGGGUGGCUAAUAUCCAUCUUGCUUGACGGUACCCUCAAAGGAAGCACCGGCUAACUCCGUGCCAGCCGCCGCAGUAAGAC